rnacentral:rRNA from 1 species
AGACGGGACCCGCACAAGCGGUGGAUGAUGUGGAUUAAUUCGAUGCAACGCGAAAACCUUACCUACCCUUGACAUGUCCGGAAUCCCGAAGAGAUUUGGGAGUGCUCGCAAGAGAACCGGAACACAGGUGCUGCAUGGCUGUCGUCAGCUCGUGUCGUGAGAUGUUGGGUUAAGUCCCGCAACGAGCGCAACCCUUGUCAUUAGUUGCCAUCAUUCAGUUGGGCACUCUAAGGCGACUGCCGGUGAUAAGCCGGAGGAAGGUGGGGAUGACGUCAAGUCCUCAUGGCCCUUACGGGCUGGGCUACACACGUGCUACAAUGGCGGUGACAGAGGGAUGCGAGGGCGCGAGCCUUGGCAAAUCUCAAAAAGCCGUCUCAGUUCGGAUUGGGGUCUGCAACUCGACCCCAUGAAGUUGGAAUCGCUAGUAAUCGCGGAUCAGCACGCCGCGGUGAAUACGUUCCCGGGCCUU